CAAACACGCUGUGAGGAUCUGCUGGAAACAUCUGGCAGAGUCCCCUGUCAAAGAGCUUCAACUCCCACCUCUGGCAGAGCUGCCAACAUGUUCCAGGUGAGGCUGGGGACAUUGAGUAGGCUGUUUGGGGGAGCUAUAGUUGUUGAAUGGUAGCAAUCCCCAAACCCGUUGGUGGACACCAGCAGUAAGAGAUGCUGUCAGGCUAAAAAAGUAGUCCUAUCGGGCCUUUCUGGCCUGUGGGACUCUGGAGGCAGCUGAUGGGUAUUGGCAGGAUAACCAGAGAGCAGCUUCAGAAGUGGCUGAGACGGGUGUGAAAAAAGUUCAGUGAGGCUAUGGAAAAUGACUUCCAGAUGCCUUACAGGAAAUUCUGGUCUCCCAUUAGGUGGCUCAGGAGGGGGAAGCAGCCCACCAUCAACACUGUGUACAGUGAUGGGAUGCUGCUGACUUCAAGGAAUACUUCAAAGACCUCCUCAAACCCACCAACACGUCUCAAAUUAAGACCAUGGUCCUAUGCCAGAAAAGGGUGGAGUGUCUUUUUCAGGGUCUUGCCCCAAGUGGAGGACUUCAUGUAUCUCGGGGUCUUGUACAGCAACGGUCUGUCGUGGUAAGGAAGGAGCUAAGCAGAAAGGUGAAGUUCUUGAUCGAGGUUCCUAUCCUCACCUAUGGUUACCAGCUGUGGCUUGUGACCAAAAUAAUAAGAUCAUGAACAUAAGCGGCUGAAAUGAGUUAUCUUCUCAGCGUGUCUGGAUUCUCCCUUAAACAUAGGAGGAGGAGCUCAGACAUUUAGGAGGAGCUCAG